rnacentral:lncRNA from 1 species
GGUUUAUGGCUCUUAAGUGUGUCCACUGGAAAAUAUAAGAAAGUACACACAUUGUAAGUCAAGAAAGUAUCUCAAGAUCAAGUUAGAGUCUCAACUUGGAAAUACAAGAAAGUACACAAAUAUAAGGUUUUAAGUAAUUGUAAGAGAACAUAUAUCUCAAGAUCAAAUUAGAGUCUCAACUUGAAAAUUCAAGAAAAUACAUAUUCAGUUUAUUUAUAUUCACUUGAUAUUUAUAAGAAGAGUUUCAAUAUAACUUUUAUAAGUAAUUCAAUUUCAUUUUCCGAUUUAGUGUAUGAGGUAUGCUUGAGUU